AACGCACAUUGCGCCCCUUGGUAUUCCGAGGGGCAUGCCUGUUCGAGCGUCAUUACAACCCUCAAGCCUAGCUUGGUAUUGGGCCUCGCCACUCACCUGGCGGGUCUUAAAAUCAGUGGCGGUGCCGUCGAGGCCCUGAGCGUAGUAAAUAUCCUCGCUAUAGGGACCCGUCGGCCGCUGGCCAUUAACCCCCAACUUUUAAGUUUGACCUCGGAUCAGGUAGGGAUACCCGCUGAACUUAA
rnacentral:misc_RNA from 2 species